rnacentral:rRNA from 1 species
UGAGGAAUAUUGGUCAAUGGCCGGAAGGCUGAACCAGCCAAGUCGCGUGAGGGAAGACGGCCCUACGGGUUGUAAACCUCUUUUGUCAGGGAGCAAAACCUCUCCACGCGUGGGGAGUCGAGAGUACCUGAAGAAAAAGCAUCGGCUAACUCCGUGCC